rnacentral:rRNA from 1 species
UUAAGCGACUAAGCGUACACGGUGGAUGCCCUGGCAGUCAGAGGCGAUGAAGGACGUGCUAAUCUGCGAUAAGCGUCGGUGAGGUGAUAUGAACCGUUAUAACCGGCGAUUUCCGAAUGGGGAAACCCAGUGUGUUUCGACACACUAUCAUUAACUGAAUCCAUAGGUUAAUGAGGCGAACCGGGGGAACUGAAACAUCUAAGUACCCCGAGGAAAAGAAAUCAACCGAGAUUCCCCCAGUAGCGGCGAGCGAACGGGGAGGAGCCCAGAGCCUGAAUCAGUGUGUGUGUUAGUGGAAGCGUCUGGAAAGGCGUGCGAUACAGGGUGACAGCCCCGUACACAAAAAUGCACAUAUUGUGAGCUCGAUGAGUAGGGCGGGACACGUGGUAUCCUGUCUGAAUAUGGGGGGACCAUCCUCCAAGGCUAAAUACUCCUGACUGACCGAUAGUGAACCAGUACCGUGAGGGAAAGGCGAAAAGAACCCCGGCGAGGGGAGUGAAAAAGAACCUGAAACCGUGUACGUACAAGCAGUGGGAGCCUCUUAAUGGGGUGACUGCGUACCUUUUGUAUAAUGGGUCAGCGACUUAUAUUCUGUAGCAAGGUUAACCGAAUAGGGGAGCCGAAGGGAAACCGAGUCUUAACUGGGCGUUAAGUUGCAGGGUAUAGACCCGAAACCCGGUGAUCUAGCCAUGGGCAGGUUGAAGGUUGGGUAACACUAACUGGAGGACCGAACCGACUAAUGUUGAAAAAUUAGCGGAUGACUUGUGGCUGGGGGUGAAAGGCCAAUCAAACCGGGAGAUAGCUGGUUCUCCCCGAAAGCUAUUUAGGUAGCGCCUCGUGAAUUCAUCUCCGGGGGUAGAGCACUGUUUCGGCUAGGGGGUCAUCCCGACUUACCAACCCGAUGCAAACUGCGAAUACCGGAGAAUGUUAUCACGGGAGACACACGGCGGGUGCUAACGUCCGUCGUGAAGAGGGAAACAACCCAGACCGCCAGCUAAGGUCCCAAAGUCAUGGUUAAGUGGGAAACGAUGUGGGAAGGCCCAGACAGCCAGGAUGUUGGCUUAGAAGCAGCCAUCAUUUAAAGAAAGCGUAAUAGCUCACUGGUCGAGUCGGCCUGCGCGGAAGAUGUAACGGGGCUAAACCAUGCACCGAAGCUGCGGCAGCGACACUAUGUGUUGUUGGGUAGGGGAGCGUUCUGUAAGCCUGUGAAGGUGGCCUGUGAGGGUUGCUGGAGGUAUCAGAAGUGCGAAUGCUGACAUAAGUAACGAUAAAGCGGGUGAAAAGCCCGCUCGCCGGAAGACCAAGGGUUCCUGUCCAACGUUAAUCGGGGCAGGGUGAGUCGACCCCUAAGGCGAGGCCGAAAGGCGUAGUCGAUGGGAAACAGGUUAAUAUUCCUGUACUUGGUGUUACUGCGAAGGGGGGACGGAGAAGGCUAUGUUGGCCGGGCGACGGUUGUCCCGGUUUAAGCGUGUAGGCUGGUUUUCCAGGCAAAUCCGGAAAACCAAGGCUGAGGCGUGAUGACGAGGCACUACGGUGCUGAAGCGACAAAUGCCCUGCUUCCAGGAAAAGCCUCUAAGCAUCAGGUAACAUCAAAUCGUACCCCAAACCGACACAGGUGGUCAGGUAGAGAAUACCAAGGCGCUUGAGAGAACUCGGGUGAAGGAACUAGGCAAAAUGGUGCCGUAACUUCGGGAGAAGGCACGCUGAUAUGUAGGUGAAGCGACUUGCUCGUGGAGCUGAAAUCAGUCGAAGAUACCAGCUGGCUGCAACUGUUUAUUAAAAACACAGCACUGUGCAAACACGAAAGUGGACGUAUACGGUGUGACGCCUGCCCGGUGCCGGAAGGUUAAUUGAUGGGGUUAGCGGUAACGCGAAGCUCUUGAUCGAAGCCCCGGUAAACGGCGGCCGUAACUAUAACGGUCCUAAGGUAGCGAAAUUCCUUGUCGGGUAAGUUCCGACCUGCACGAAUGGCGUAAUGAUGGCCAGGCUGUCUCCACCCGAGACUCAGUGAAAUUGAACUCGCUGUGAAGAUGCAGUGUACCCGCGGCAAGACGGAAAGACCCCGUGAACCUUUACUAUAGCUUGACACUGAACAUUGAGCCUUGAUGUGUAGGAUAGGUGGGAGGCUUUGAAGUGUGGACGCCAGUCUGCAUGGAGCCGACCUUGAAAUACCACCCUUUAAUGUUUGAUGUUCUAACGUUGGCCCGUAAUCCGGGUUGCGGACAGUGUCUGGUGGGUAGUUUGACUGGGGCGGUCUCCUCCUAAAGAGUAACGGAGGAGCACGAAGGUUGGCUAAUCCUGGUCGGACAUCAGGAGGUUAGUGCAAUGGCAUAAGCCAGCUUGACUGCGAGCGUGACGGCGCGAGCAGGUGCGAAAGCAGGUCAUAGUGAUCCGGUGGUUCUGAAUGGAAGGGCCAUCGCUCAACGGAUAAAAGGUACUCCGGGGAUAACAGGCUGAUACCGCCCAAGAGUUCAUAUCGACGGCGGUGUUUGGCACCUCGAUGUCGGCUCAUCACAUCCUGGGGCUGAAGUAGGUCCCAAGGGUAUGGCUGUUCGCCAUUUAAAGUGGUACGCGAGCUGGGUUUAGAACGUCGUGAGACAGUUCGGUCCCUAUCUGCCGUGG